UUUUAUGGAGAGUUUGAUCCUGGCUCAGGAUGAACGCUGGCAGCGUGCCUAAUACAUGCAAGUCGAGCGAACGGACGAGAAGCUUGCUUCUCUGAUGUUAGCGGCGGACGGGUGAGUAACACGUGGAUAACCUACCUAUAAGACUGGGAUAACUUCGGGAAACCGGAGCUAAUACCGGAUAAUAUUUUGA
rnacentral:rRNA from 1 species